rnacentral:misc_RNA from 1 species
UUCAUGGGGUCUUUAAUGGCUGGGUGGGGCUCUCCCGUCCUGGAUCAUAAAUCAGUGAAAUACAAGAGAAAUUGGUCAUUUACCAAAGAAGAGAUUGACGCUUACUGGAAAUUAAAGAAGAAAACAGAGGAGGAACAUCUCAAAGCAAUUUCUACUCCUUCAGAAAGCAUUAAUCAGGAUGGUACAUAUGAUGACUAUGGAGUAAAGCUUCAGAGAUCAAGCUCCUUGCCUGAGGCCAAGAGAAAGGAGAGCCUCAUGGGCAUGGAAACUGAUAAAAGCUUGGAGGAAGUCAUAAAGAAAAAUGGCUGGUGGAAAAGGAGCAACUGGGCAUUUCUGAACGAACCUCCUGUGCUGGAAC